rnacentral:rRNA from 1 species
UACGUAGGGUGCGAGCGUGUCCGGAAUUAUUGGGCGUAAAGGGCUCGUAGGCGGUCUGUCGCGUCAGGAGUGAAAACUCGGGGCUUAACCCCGAGCCUGCUUCUGAUACGGGCAGACUAGAGGUAUGCAGGGGAGAACGGAAUUCCUGGUGUAGCGGUGAAAUGCGCAGAUAUCAGGAGGAACACCGGUGGCGAAGGCGGUUCUCUGGGCAUUACCUGACGCUGAGGAGCGAAAGUGUGGGGAGCGAACAGG